GAUGAACGCUGGCGGCGUGCUUAACACAUGCAAGUCGAACGGAAAGGCCCAAGCUUGCUUGGGUACUCGAGUGGCGAACGGGUGAGUAACACGUGGGUGAUCUGCCCUGCACUUCGGGAUAAGCCUGGGAAACUGGGUCUAAUACCGGAUAGGACCACUUCUUGGAUGUUGUGGUGGAAAGUUUUUUCGGUGUGGGAUGAGCUCGCGGCCUAUCAGCUUGUUGGUGGGGUAAUGGCCUACCAAGGCGUCGACGGGUAGCCGGCCUGAGAGGGUGUACGGCCACAGUGGGACUGAGAGACGGCCCAGACUCCUACGGGAGGCAGCAGUGGGGAAUAUUGCACAAUGGGCGCAAGCCUGAUGCAGCGACGCCGCGUGGGGGAUGACGGCCUUCGGGUUGUAAACUCCUUUCGCUAGGGACGAAGCGUUUUGUGACGGUACCUGGAGAAGAAGCACCGGCUAACUACGUG
rnacentral:rRNA from 1 species